GCCUGGAUAGCCUUGUGAGUAAGGUGUUCGACUCGAAGUCGUUCACCCCGGGUUCAAGUCCCGGUUGGGGCG
rnacentral:tRNA from 1 species